rnacentral:rRNA from 1 species
AUGUGCACCUGUCUACCUAUGUCCCUGGUGAUCCAAGAAACAAUCGAAGACUAUGAUGGGCGCCUCGGUGCCGGCAUCAUUCAGAAGGUGACUCUAGAAGUAAUGCGGAAGCAAUCCGAAAGUGCAACUUACAUAUGUGGAAAUGAAAUUGGAAAAACAUCGAGGGAAGUUGCAAAAGUAAUGAAGCGGCGUACUGUCAAGAGCACUCUCUGUAAUGAGAGAAGUUUGCGAAGUCAUUGCAUGGUACUCCUCCGUUCGGAAUUACUUGUCUCGAAAAUGGAUGUAUGUAGAACUAAAAUACAUCUAGAUACAUCCAUUUCUGCGACAAGUAAUUCCGAACGGAGGGAGUAG